rnacentral:rRNA from 1 species
AUUGAACGCUGGCGGCAUGCCUUACACAUGCAAGUCGAACGGUAACAGGUUAAGCUGACGAGUGGCGAACGGGUGAGUAAUGUAUCGGAACGUGCCCAGUCGUGGGGGAUAACUGCUCGAAAGAGCAGCUAAUACCGCAUACGACCUGAGGGUGAAAGCGGGGGAUCGCAAGACCUCGCGCGAUUGGAGCGGCCGAUAUCAGAUUAGGUAGUUGGUGGGGUAAAGGCUCACCAAGCCAACGAUCUGUAGCUGGUCUGAGAGGACGACCAGCCACACUGGGACUGAGACACGGCCCAGACUCCUACGGGAGGCAGCAGUGGGGAAUUUUGGACAAUGGGCGCAAGCCUGAUCCAGCCAUGCCGCGUGCGGGAAGAAGGCCUUCGGGUUGUAAACCGCUUUUGUCAGGGAAGAAAAGGUUCUGGCUAAUACCUGGGACUCAUGACGGUACCUGAAGAAUAAGCACCGGCUAACUACGUGCCAGCCGCCGCAGUAAGAC